rnacentral:rRNA from 1 species
CAGCCGCCACGGUAAUACGUAUAUCACGAGCGUUAUCCGGAUUUAUUGGGCGUAAAGCGCGUCUAGGUGGUUAUGUAAGUCUGAUGUGAAAAUGCAGGGCUCAACACCGUAUUGCGUUGGAAACUGUAUAACUAGAGUACUGGAGAGGUAAGCGGAACUACAAGUGUAGAGGUGAAAUUCGUAGAUAUUUGUAGGAAUGCCGAUGGGGAAGCCAGCUUACUGGACCGACACUGACGCUGAGGCGCGAAAGCGUGGGGAGCAAACAGGAUUAGAUACCCCCGUAGUCCCUGUCUCUUAUACA